AAAUGUUAAAAAAAGAAUCUAGUUGUAUCCAGCCAGAGUGUUACCGUCUUUGUGACAUGUUUUCACAGGUCUGAGAAAGAACCCCAGUUUAAGUUUAUCUACUUCAACCACAUGAAUCUCGCCGAGAAGAGCACAGUUCACAUGAGGAAAACGCCCAGUGUGUCGCUCACUUCCGUGCACCCAGAUUUAAUGAAGAUUCUCGGUGACAUCAACAGUGACUUUACCAGAGUGGAUGAAGAUGAGGAGAUUAUCGUGAAGGCCAUGAGUGACUACUGGGUUGUUGGAAAGAAGUCUGAUCGGCGGGAGCUCUAUGUUAUCUUGAAUCAAAAAAACGCAAACCUCAUUGAAGUAAAUGAAGAGGUCAAGAAACUUUGUGCAACGCAGUUCAACAACAUCUUCUUCUUGGAUUGACUGAUGAUGGCUCACCGAGAGCGUAUUUA
rnacentral:sRNA from 1 species